rnacentral:rRNA from 1 species
UUUGUAAUUUAUUUAGUUCUGGUUAUGGGAGAAGAUUUAGGCACCAGUCACAUAAGAAGUUUGUAUAGAGUUGUAUAUUAAUGGUUGUUAUGCUUUUAGUGACGAGUUCUUAUUUUUGAAGCAAUUCAGAGUAGGGUGUUCUUCAUAGGAAAUGGUUAAUUCUCAGUGCCAGCCUCCGCGGUUAUUCUGUGGUUUCGUUCUUCCUGUCAGUUGAAAUUUUUUGAAAGUGAGUAUGUAAAGGUUAAGGUAGAAUUUUCUUUGUUUGGUAUUGAGCUUUCAAUGCGGUUUUUAGGUUUCUUUUGUAAAAGAGGAUUAGAUACCCUCGUAUAGGAGAAAUAGGAUUUUGGUGUCUGUAGUGUGAACUAAAAGAAUUUGGCAGCCGAUGAAGUUCGUCCGGGGGAGUGUGUUCUUUAAAAAGACGGUCCGCUUAAUGGUUCACCUUUUUAAAUGGUUAGUGUAUAUCCGGUUUAAAAUCUGUAAUUAGUGUUGCGGGUGAAGAUAGUUGGGUAUUUAAUCCAGGUCUUUGUGCUGCUGAUGGAAAGGGUAGUAAAUGCACUACUUUGUUAAAAAGCUUUAAUAUGAAUUUAAGGUUUAUUCAGGACUCGGUAGUAGGGAAGGUUUAGUUUGUCUUUUCGAAAAGGAUUUAGUUGGGGUACACACCGCCCGUCACUCAGGGCGUUAGCUCUGAUAAGUCGUAACAUGGUAAUGUCGGGGGAACCGGACGUUAGUAGAUUCAUUGUGUAUUUGGUGGAUUU